UUCAUCGAUAUUCAUUUUGAAUACUAAUAUUACCCUAUUAAAAACUUUUACUAGUCACUAUAUUCUACAACAAAAAAAAAAAAAAAUCACAAAGCCAAAAACAUCAUCCGGGUAUAAGGAUGAAAAAAUGGCAUGCAGUUUUGAUCAUAUUGGACAAAAAGCAACGUCUUAUCUAUUCAGUAAAUUUGGGCCUUCCAAUGGCGGAAAAUGUUUGGGCCUCACUAGGAAGAAUGUUAAUCAAAGGAGCACAUAUGAGUCUGCGCUUCCUCGUGUUUCUCCUUCCAUUGCUGAGACUCUCUCUAACCUUGGAGCCUCGAGCUCUGUUUCCGCAACCACAAGCCUCUCUUCCAUUCAACUAUAUAUCAAUAUAUCAAACAGAGUUAACAGACACAGACAGUGAGUGUUUAUGCAAUCUUGUUUCCAAAAAAGACUUAAAAGCAAGCAACGCAAAGACAGAGAAAGAGACUUGUUGUCAUGAAAAUGCUCAAACUUUGUUUCCAAAAAUCUACACAAGCUCGCAGAAUCUUACGAUUUACAUCACAAAUCGUAUCCUGAACCUAUUAAGAAAAAAGGAAACAAACACAAAACAGUUAAGAGAAAAAUCAACACAAAAGACUCACAAAAAAAAAAGGAAAUUUUGAAAAGAGUAAAAAAAAGGAAACUUUGAAUUCCAAAAAAAAUGGAAACUUUGAUUACAAGAAAAUCUAUAUAUACAUCACAAACGUUUUAAAUAUCAUCACAAUUCACAAACCCAGAGAAACAAAGAGAGAGAGAGAGAGAGAGAGAGAGAGAGAGAGAGAAAGAGAGAGAGUUAUAGAUUCUAUUCUUCGAUUUCAUGCCCAAUUUGCUUACGAUGAUUCUAUUCUUCAAUUUCUACUUCGUUUACCUCUUUUAUCUCUUCGAAUUUCAUGAGUUGUUUGAUCCAUCUUUGACUCCAAAUUGUUCGACGUUUUCUUUGUCGCUGCUCUUCGACAACCAAAGAACAGAAGAUCGUGAUUGAAGAUGAUGUCGAUUUCAGGCGAGGAAUCAUGAUAUUGGAGCGUCUAUCCAGCGACGACGGAGAUGGCGAUAGAGGGAGCAGAAGAUUGAGGACGUGGCUUUGCUUUUACAGAGAAGUUGUGUUUUUCAUUGAAGCUUCUCUCCGGCGAGCAGCAGCCAUCGACGACGGUGAUGGCUUGCGUUUCCGGUGGAGAUUAAAGGGGUUGGAUUGAUGAUAUCAUCAAAGCCCUUUUGCACAACUAAAGAAAAAUUAAUUUCAGCCCAUAAGAAAGGUCAAUUUCUAACCCUUUUUAAUUUUUUUUCUUGUGUUUGUUUUUUUUUU
rnacentral:lncRNA from 1 species